GACGAACGCUGGCGGCAGGCUUAACACAUGCAAGUCGAACGCCCCGCAAGGGGCGUGGCAGACGGGUGAGUAACGCGUGGGAACGUGCCCUAAGGUACGGAACAACUCCGGGAAACUGGAGCUAAUACCGUAUGUGACCGAGAGGUGAAAGAUUUAUCGCCUUAGGAUCGGCCCGCGUCAGAUUAGCUAGUUGGUGGGGUAAUGGCCUACCAAGGCGACGAUCUGUAGCUGUUCUGAGAGGACGAUCAGCCACACUUGGACUGAGACACGGCCCAGACUCCUACGGGCGGCAGCAGUGGGGAAUCUUGGACAGUGGGCUCAAGCCGGAUCCAGCCAUGCCGCGUGAGUGAUGAAGGCCUUAGGGUUGUAAAACUCUUUCGCCGAGGACGAUAAUGACGGUACUCGGAGAAGAAGCUCCGGCUAACUUCGUGCCAGCAGCCGCCGUAA
rnacentral:rRNA from 1 species